UACAUAGUAGCUUAAACAAAGCGCCUGUUUGGCAAGCAGCGAGAUGAAGGUUUUAAUCCUUCCUGUGUAC
rnacentral:tRNA from 1 species